GUGUAGACCUGCCAGAGGGAUGCAUCUGUGGAUACCAACUCUACAGCUGGAACUUCUGAGUUUGCGGGUUCUGCACCAGUGGGCAGCAAAUGAAAAGUUCCAGAGGUUUAUACACUCUCCGAGUUGGACUCAGAAAUACAAGUCAUCAUUUGCUCCACUCAUCAGCCUAUGCCAUAAAUGCCUGAGAUUUUGCUACCGUUGACCAACGCUGUUUACGAACACCCAACUCCACCCCUUCAGCUUUUGGCUACCAGUCUACAAUCUACUUGUAGGAGUCGGGCUCUUUCAAGGUUGCACAUGAAAAUAAGAUGCCAUACGUGAGCGGACCACGUAAGAUGUAGCACUCUCAGCUUCAGCACCACAUCUGCCUCUCCACCGCCAUGCUCCCUGUCGUGAUAACAGCCCGAACCUCUGAAGCUGUAAGCUAUCCACCCCAAAUGAAUGUGUUACUUUA